rnacentral:lncRNA from 1 species
CUGUUGUUAUUUUGUUACUACUUUUUUCCAUUGGCUAUAGUUGCAUCUUGCACUGGGAUUUGUCCUGUUGUCAUCUGUUGUUACUGCUGUUGUUUGGUGUAUGCUAUUAUUGCUCUACUGACUCUCCUGCUUCUUCAUUGUAAGCAUUUCCCACGUACACAUUUAGACCCCCACACUGGUGUAACUGAUUGUAACAAUGAAAUCAUGAAUUGAAAGAUCUGAAGGAAUUAUAAUCAUCUGCUGUUUUACUUACAGUCUUUUGUAAAUGUUGUUAAGUUGUGUAGAUUUUAGUUUGUAGUUCGAUAGAUAAUACAUUAGCAAGUUUGUAUUUAAUUGAAGCUUAUGCUGAUCUAAACCACGAUAUGUGAUUCAUUUAAUGGUAUAUAGGAUGUAACUAUAAUUCAUGGCAUAUGCAACCAUUAGUAUGAUUGUUAAUUCAAACUCGUUCUUCAGCAUGUUUUGAAUAUGUAGGGUGGACGGUUCGCUUCAAUUUUGCAAAAAUACAAUACAGUUUUAGAUUCUCGAGUUUCAACUUCAUUAGGCAGUUUAUAGGAUGAGUUUCAAAUAUCAUUAGUCGCAUCCUCUAAUAAGUGGAUUUAAUUAAUCCUGUUUAAAUGAGUUAAAUUUAAUUCAAGGAGCGCUUGUAGUAGUUGUAGCGUUUCAUCAAUCUUGUAUGUAAUUUUCAUUAAAUUAAAAGCAUAUUCCAUGAGGUCUAACCUCAAAAACUGAUCAUAAUAAAUACUUAGAUUUUGGGAUGGACUGUUUAGUGAAUUUCACUGCCUUCCCCAAAGAUAAUAACGCGUUAGACUCUUUAGGUGCGGCUUAAUUAAAUCACAUUCUUAAAUUCGGGUGCGCAUUUAUGUGACCCAAAUUCCUAUCUCAACAAAGUCGAAAUGUGUUAACAACUACGGGUGCAUUGAUUGUGACGUGGUUCGAGAUGCAUUUUCACGACGUUGCAAUUCUAUAAAAAUAAAUGAUGAUAAUAAAAGCGGUUUAAACUUAAUAAAAGCACGUAAGUCAGAACACAUAUUUAAACCAGAUAUUUAGCCAUUAUAACAAUUUGAGCGACUGUGCUAGAACCACGGGAUUCGAGGGUGCCUAACACCUUCCCUCGGGUCAACAGAAUUCCUUACUUAGAAUUUCGGGUUCGCGGACUUCAUUUGGAAAGUCGAAAAUUUCCUCGAUUUGGGAUUCAAGAUAAACCGGUGACUUGGGACACCAAAAGCCAAACCUUUCCCAAGUGGCGACUCUGAAUUAAAUAAAUAAUCCCAUUUCGAAUAUUGUCACUUAAAUUGGAAAAACUCCCUCGCGCAUUUAUCCCUCGGGAUAGGCGCGCAAAAGGGAGGUGUGACAAUGACCAGAUGGAGUUAUAUACGUGUAUAUAUGUAUAUUAUUUUUAUAUGGGAUACAGGAAGAAGGUUACAGCGUUAUAUACACACCACCACCUGAUCAGGUGGUAUAUGAUGAUGAUUUUGCCCACAGUGGCUGAAAUAUGACUCAGACGACGUUAUAUAUGUGUAUAUAUGUAAAUAUAUGUAUAUAGGGUAUGGGAAAAGGUUACGGCGUUAUACAUGCACCACCACCUGAUCAGCUGGUAUAUGUUGGUGAUGUGCCCACAGUGGCCGAGACGAUAUGAUUGAAUGCCCUCAGUGGCUUGAUGAUAUUAUGUACACCCAUACCUAUGCAUGACACAACAUUUAUACACAUGUGCAUAACGUUAUAAACGUUUUAGAAUUUACAAAGUUGUUCAAAUUUAAAGACAUGUUUCUAUAUUCCAUGUUCUAUCUAUGUCUGUUACGUACUAAUUUUCAUGCAUUACAUACUCGAUACAUUUUUCGUACUGAUGCCCUAUUUCCUUGCGUUUCAUGCCCCCAGGUGCAGGUAAGUAAGCUGAUGGCCCCCCUUCUUAGGACCCUUGACCAGCGAGAGUUGGCGUGCUCCAUUUGAUCUGAAGCUGCUUUUGAUUUUGGGUAAGAUAUAUGGGUAUAGCGUGGCUCAGUCCCGUCUUUGUACAGUUAUGUUUCUAUUAGAUGUAUGUGGACAGUAUGUCUAGCUGGGUUGUAUGUGGCCUUGUCGGCUUUCAAUUUUGGAUGUAUAGUUUUCUGUAGUAGCCUUGCUGGCUCGCCCACUGUAUUCUACAUGUAUACGUACAUAUGCCUUGAUGGCAGGUUUCCUUCACGUAUGUCAAUUUCGUAAUGCAGUAUACAUUAUACAGGUUCAUAUCCUAGACGCAUGUUUAAGGGUGUUUGACAGGUAGUACUCAGGCACCCAUCGCGACCCAUUGGUUUGGGUCGUGACAGCCAGGCCAAUGACAAUAUUGCAGAUCCUCCCCCAGCUCCGCCACGAGUAGCUCCUCGGGUGCUUCCAAAUGAAGGGUACGCAAGUGCAAUUGUCCCACCUCAGAUCCAGGCGGGCAAUUUCUAGAUUACAAAUAUCAUGCUGACCUUAUUAGAGCAAAGAGGGUACUUCACAGGCGCUCCCCAUCGGAAUGCAUAUAAAUAUCUAAAGGACUUUGUGGAUACCUACUGGGGUAGCAAAUAAAAAAAUAUAUCGGAGAUGCAUUGAGACUGAGAUUGUUCCCUUUCUCACUUACAGGGAAAGCUUUGGACUGGAUCGAAAGACUUCCCAACCGUUCCAUCACUACGUGGAAUGAGUUGGCCGACAAGUUUAUAGCCAAGUUUUUCUCACCGGGACAUAUGGUUGCAUUAAGGGAUGAGAUCUUAGCAUUCAAACAGGAACCAAAUAAACCCCUUCAUGAAAUCUGGGAUAGAUAUAGAACUAUGGUCAAGGAAUGCCCCAACAAUGAUAUGACUGAAGCAAUGAUCCAACAGACAUUUUAUCGGGGUAUAAACACGACCAAUCAAUGUGUGGUAAACCAGCUAGCAGGGAGUAAUUUUAUGAAGCUAUCUUAUGCUGAGGCCUGCGAGAUUCUUGAUGAAAUGGCUGGAACUUCAUCAGCCUGGCAGAGUAGGGAGAAUAUUCCUCAAGGGGAUCCUCAUGUCAUAAAUCAUCACAAAGAACUUCAAGACCACAGACAAGUCAUAGCUGAGUUGACAACAACCAUGAACUAGUUAGCCAAAGCACAGCUUCAGCAGAUUUAGGGACCAAAGCAAGUAAACGUAAUGGAAGGCGUUAAUCUAUUGGUGAACAAGAGGAGAAAGCAUGGGCUACAAAUUCAAGGCAAUAAAGAUCAAUAUGAGUAAGGCAGCAUUGGUUUCAACCAAGAUGAUGGUUAUAGUGAACAAAGUAAAGAGGUUUUGUAUGCCAACAAUUAUCAAGGACAACGAGGUAAUGCUCAAAAUCAACAGUGGAGAUCACAAGGGAAUAAUCAGAAUUGGGGAAACCAAGGCCAAGGAAAUUGGAACAAUAACAACAAAAACUCCAACAAUUUGGGUGGCAACAACAACCAAGGAAGUUGGAAUAAUGGUAAUCGGGGACAGGUUUUCAAAGGCCUCCAAUGUUUUAACAACCAAACAAUCCACCUCCAUUUCCAUCCCAAGGUCCUAGCUCGUCAAACAAUGAGAUGAGGAAGAUUGAGUAGAUAUUUGAGAAAAUGAUGAAAAAGAACGCCGACUCCGAUGCUCAAUUGGCGUCCCAUAAUACUUCGAUCGGCAAUCUAAAGGUCCAACUUGGUCAGAUUUUGCAAGCUUUGAACACUCGCCCUAAGGGGGCACUACUUAGUGACACGGUAGUAAACCCGAAGGGUGGGAACAAUAUCGGACAUACAAUGGUGGUGACCACUAGGAGUGGUAGAGGUGAUUAUGCAAAUACCUCCAAGCAAAAGGAAGUUGUGAGUGAUGAUGUUAAAUUGCAAAAUGAAGAUGAUCCUAUAGUUUUUGAGCAAAUGAGUAAAGAGAAUGUGAAUGGUGAGGUGAGAAUUGAUAUUCAUGACAAUGAGGAGGAGACUCAAAAUGACAUGAACCCGUCUAGGGAGCACGUGAUAGACAUGCCGGAAAUGGUAAUACCUAAAGCCAAGGCUCCCUUGUCUAGGCCUCCUCCACCUUACCCUCAAACACUUGCAAAGCACAAGAGUGAAAACCAGUUCAAGAAGUUUAUUGAGAUGAUGAAAAGUUUGUUGAUCAAUGUGCCUUCGGGAUAAGCCAAGUUUAUGAAAGACUUGGUGACUAGAAAGAGAUCUAUAGAUUGUGAGACCAUCACAAUGACUCAUCAAGUGAGUACCAUUGUGCACACGAUAGAUCCAAAGCUUGAAAAUCCUGGUACAUUUACCAUUCCAUGUACCAUUGGGAGUGCGAAUUUUGCAAAGGCCUUGUGUUAUUUGGGAGCAAGUAUAAAUUUGAUGCCUUACUCCGUAUUAAAAGCUUUGGGUAUUGGUCAACCAAGAACUACCUCCAUGAGAUUGCAAAUGGCCAAUAGAACAAUGAAGAGGCCGCUUGGUAUUAUUGAUGAUGUUCUUAUCUGAGUUGACAAGUUUAUUUUGCCUGUUGAUUUUGUGAUUCUGGACAGCGAAGUCGACUAUGAGGUGCCGAUAAUAUUGGGAAGGCCUUUCCUCGCAACAGGGAAGUCAUUGGUUGAUGUGGAAGUAGGGGAGUCACCUUCCGGGUGGGUGAUGAAAACAUUGUCUUCCAUGUGUGCAAAUCUAUGAGGCAGCCGAAUAUUACUAAGGUUUGUUCUUUUAUGGAUCUGGUGACGGAGGUGAUAGUUGAUGAUACAAGCACCAUGUUCAAUGUGGAGGAUCCUUUAAAAGCAGUAUUUUUGAACAAUGAUGUGACCGAGGAUGAAGGCUUGCUAGAGUGUGUCAAUGCCUUGCACGGAAUGGGUUCUUACUCCUAUGAGCCCUGUAAACUCUCCUUGGAUCUUGAGUGUCAUACCUCCUUUUUCACACCCCGAAAAGGGUAUAAGGGAGUUUUUCCAAUUAAUGUGACAAUCGAAACGGUAUUAUUUUAUUUAUAAAUCAGAGUCGCCACUUGGGAUAAUUUAUGGUGUCCCAAGUCACCGUUUUAGAAUCCCGAAUCGAGGAACGUUGACUCUUAUUUAUGGUCCGCGAACACAGAAAUUCGGGUAAGGAAUUCUGUUAACCCGGGAGAAGGUGUUAGGCAUUCUCGGGUUUUGUGGUUCUAGCACGGUUGCUCAACGAUUAUUAGUGGCUCAAUUAUCUGAUUUAAUUACACAUUUUAAACCUACGUGCCCUUUUAACAUUUUAGCCGCUUUUAAUAUUUCAGGAAAUUUCAAGGUUAUUUAAAAUACAUCGUAAGACACGCUACAUGAAAUGCACCCGCGGUUCACGACACGCUUUAUUUAACCUUGUUAGAAAUUAGAACCGGAUCACAUGAAAUAUACACCCGGAUUUAUAACAUGUUUAUUUUAAUUAUUAUUAUUCAAAAUUAUGGCAGGGUCAUAUAAAAUGCACACCCAUAGUUCAGUUGAUGAAUAGUAACCCAAUUUCUAUACUCUAACAAAAUCAUAUUCAGCUAUAACCAAUUCGAGAUGGCCGUAAAGCAAACAAUUAUGGAAUUUAUUGAUGGAUCAGUGGUGGAGUUUUAAACUAUUGGUAAGUUAAUCUAUUAAACAAUGUAUUUAUGCCCAUAUGAGUAUGAAUGAGAAUAUAAGAAAUCAUUAUGUUAGUCAGAACUCAAAAGCUAAUGCGAAACUAACUGUCGGCACCGUAGGUCAAUUAAUUCAAUCAUUUUCCCUAACAUUGAAACAAUUAUUUUGAAACCCGAAUUUUCAAAGUAACGCCUAACCUUGUAUCCUACUAUCCACAAAUCAUAAAUCUCCAAAACUCAUUUAUUCAUCCAAAAAAACAUUCCAGAGAACUAAAAAAAAAACUUAGUAUCUUAUUAAUCUAACAAUGAAAGCUAACAGGAUAUAUAUUGCUAAUAAAUGGUAUUUCAACUUGACAAUUCACCACUAAACAUUGAGCUUAUAUUAGAGAAAACAACAUACAACACCCAAGAGAAUAAAUGACUAACAAAAUCAUGAUAGAAUCUAAUUGAAACUAUGACCUCAAUGGAAGCUCAAAUUUUACAGGAUGAAACUAGAUAAUAUCUUUCCAGCAAUUCCAACAUAGCCUAAACCAAGAAAAAUUGAAAAGAAAUAAUAGAUAAGUAUCAUGCUAUUCAUAACACAUUCAAAAUUGACGUCAAAAUAGAAGUAAGAGUGGGGAAAAUUGAACCUGAGAUGGCUUCUUUUAAAUGAGUAAAAUCAGUGACUACAAUGAUAGGUUUAAACUGACUGUGUGCAAGACCCGACGACGAAAACAAACAUGAGCAACAACUGAAUCGGGCCUCAAACCAUACCCCGAACCGGCGGCUAGAACCUCGACUCGAAAACCCAAACGCCUUGCCAGAAAACUCGGAUGAUUAAGCAGAUCUGAAGGUUUUAGUCAUGUUCAUGGCUCUUCAUCACUGUUGGUCGCCAUUUUCGGUGAGACUUGGUGAAGGCGGCUGGAGACGGGUCUGUUUGGUUGGUGUUCCGGUGGUUUUUUGGUUGAAUAGCUGGCAGAGAUGGGGUCGUUUUUGAAGAGUGGUUAAGGUGGUAUUGAAUCAGUAAGAUGAAGAGAGGAACGUUUGAAGCUUUUUUAGAUGGGGNNNNN